UCCCUAUUAGCUCAGUCGGUAGAGCAUGAGAAUCUUAAUCUCAGGGUUGUGGGUUCGAGCCCCAUAUUGGGCA